AUUGAACGCUGGCGGAAUGCUUUACACAUGCAAGUCGAACGGCAGCACGGACUUCGGUCUGGUGGCGAGUGGCUGACGGGCGCGUAAUGUCUCGGAACGUGCCCAGUCGUGGGGGAUAACGUAGUGAAAAUUACGCUAAUACUGCAUACGAACUAUGGAUGAAUGCGGGGGAUCGCAAUACCUUCCGCCAUUGCACCGGCCGAUAUCAGAUUAGGUAGUGGGUGGGGUAAACGCCCACCAAGCGAACGGAGUGUAGCUGGUCUGAGAGGACGACCAGCCACCCUGGAACGGAGGCAAGGUCCAGACUCCUACGGGAGGCAGCAGUGGGGGAUUUUGGACAAUGAGCAAAAGCCUGAUCCAGCCAUUCCGCGUGCAGGAUGAAGGCCAUCGAGUUGUAAACUGCUUUUGUACAGAACGAAAAGGUUUCUACUAAUACUAGGAGCUCAUGACGGUACUGUAAGAAUAAGCACCGACUAACUACGUGCCAGCCGCCGCGGUAA
rnacentral:rRNA from 1 species